rnacentral:rRNA from 1 species
UACGUAGGGGGCAAGCGUUAUCCGGAAUUAUUGGGCGGAAAGCGCGCGCAGGUGGUUUCUUAAGUCUGAUGUGAAAGCCCACGGCUCAACCGUGGAGGGUCAUUGGAAACUGGGAGACUUGAGUGCAGAAGAGGAAAGUGGAAUUCCAUGUGUAGCGGUGAAAUGCGUAGAGAUAUGGAGGAACACCAGUGGCGAAGGCGACUUUCUGGUCUGUAACUGACACUGAGGCGCGAAAGCGUGGGGAGCAAACAGG